AUCCUGGCUCAGAUUGAACGCUGGCGGCAUGCUUUACACAUGCAAGUCGAACGGUAACAGGUUAAGCUGACGAGUGGCGAACGGGUGAGUAAUGCAUCGGAACGUGCCCAGUCGUGGGGGAUAACGCAGCGAAAGCUGUGCUAAUACCGCAUACGAUCUAUGGAUGAAAGCGGGGGACCGUAAGGCCUCGCGCGAUUGGAGCGGCCGAUGUCAGAUUAGCUAGUUGGUGGGGUAAAGGCCCACCAAGGCGACGAUCUGUAGCUGGUCUGAGAGGACGACCAGCCACACUGGAACUGAGACACGGUCCAGACUCCUACGGGAGGCAGCAGUGGGGAAUUUUGGACAAUGGGCGCAAGCCUGAUCCAGCAAUGCCGCGUGCAGGAAGAAGGCCUUCGGGUUGUAAACUGCUUUUGUACGGAACGAAAAGGCUCUGGCUAAUACCCGGAGCUCAUGACGGUACCGUAAGAAUAAGCACCGGCUAACUACGUG
rnacentral:rRNA from 1 species